AUUGAACGCUGGCGGCAGGCUUAACACAUGCAAGUCGAGCGAGCGGCGGACGGGUGAGUAAUGUCUGGGAAACUGCCUGAUGGAGGGGGAUAACUACUGGAAACGGUAGCUAAUACCGCAUACCCUCAGAUGUGCCCAGAUGGGAUUAGCUAGUAGGUGGGGUAAUGAUUCACCUAGGCGACGAUCCCUAGCUGGUCUGAGAGGAACACCAACCAAACGGGAACUGAGAGACGGUCCAGAGUCCUACGGGAGGCAGCAGGAGGGAAUGUUGCACAGUGGGCGAAAGCCUGAUGCAGCCAUGCGGCGUGAAUGAAGAAGGCCUUGGGGUUGUAAAGUACUUUCAGCGAGGAGGCGUUACUCGCAGAAGAAGCACCUGCUAACUCCGUGCCAGCAGCCGCGGUAAUAC
rnacentral:rRNA from 1 species